CGCAGUCAAAUGACUGAAACAAGUAAAAGAGUAAAAGAUAGUAUCUGAAAGUCGGCUAUAACAAUGUAGUCUUCCAGUCUCAUUGCUAUGUAGGUAUGAUGUCGUGGAGAAAAAUCAAUUGGAGGAAAAAGUUACAGAGGUUUACAAAUCGG